rnacentral:rRNA from 1 species
UACGUAGGGGGCGAGCGUUGUCCGGAGUUACUGGGCGUAAAGCGCACGCAGGCGGUCUGCUAAGUUUGGAGUGACAGUUGGUGGCUUAACUGCCAAAGUGCUUCGAAAACUGACAGACUUGAGGGCUUCAGAGGGACACGGAAUUCCGGGUGGAGUGGUGAAAUGCGCAGAGAUCGGAAAGAACACCAACGGCGAAAGCACUCUGCUGGGCCGACACUGACACUGAGAGACGAAAGCUAGGGGAGCGAAUGGG